GUCACGUGCCGGGCGCGCUCGCACGCCGCCGAGCACGUACAAAGGGCCCGGUGGGGGAGGACGGCGGGGCGGAGAGAAGGCCCCUGGAACGCCUCUCCCCAGGAAAAACAAUCUCUGGGAGGCGGAGGCAACAGAGAAAAAUAGCCAUUGGACCAGAACGGAAUGAAGUUCAAACCCUCCCCGGGAGAACGGGGCAAAUUCAUGAAAAGCAUAGCUUGAAAGAUUUCAGACGAUGAAAGUGGGGGCACUGUAACAAGAUGAUGUUUUAAACCACCAACGUAUUUCUAGAAUAAGCGAUCGCUAAC